GGGCCAGUGGUCUAGCCCGGUCUAAGACACUGCCCUUACACGGCAGGGAUCACCGGUUCAAAUCCGGUCUGGCCCACC
rnacentral:tRNA from 1 species